rnacentral:rRNA from 1 species
UACAGAGGUCUCAAGCGUUGUUCGGAUUCAUUGGGCGUAAAGGGCGCGUAGGCGGCUCGGUAAGCGUGCGGUGAAAGCCUGGGGCUCAACCCCGGGUCGGCCGUGCGAACUGUCGAGCUCGAGCACUGUAGAGGCAGGCGGAAUUCCGGGUGUAGCGGUGGAAUGCGUAGAGAUCCGGAAGAACACCGGUGGCGAAGGCGGCCUGCUGGGCAGUAGCUGACGCUGAGGCGCGACAGCGUGGGGAGCAAACAGG